GCCGUUGGGGCAGCCGCCCGGGAGCCGGCGCCGCUCUCGCUCCCCCCGCCCCCGGGGUGUGUUUAUCCUGCGCAGCUGCCGGCCGGGGAGGCGGCUGAGGCGCGGCGGCCCCGCGGCAGCGGCAGCGGCGGGCGGGACGGCGGGCUGCUCGUCCAGCGCGCCCGGGUCGCUGGGCUGCCGUUCGCCUCGCUACUUUAUUUCCUCUAUAAAAAGUCAGCUGCGGAUGUCGAAUCUCCUGUCGUUACCUACAGCAGGUCCCAUGAUUUGAGUUUUUUUUAUGAGGAAGCGCUGAGACAAUACACCGCAGCCCGCUUUUAUACGGCACGUUUUUAUAUUGCACCUGCAAUACGCGGGCUCACAUAAUUUCACAGAGAGCUGUAAACUAUACCGUAAAGGAAGGUUUUAAGAGCGGAGGAUUACCCCGAGGAAGUCAUUGCAAGAGGACACACACAAGGGUUUCAGCAGAGAUAAUGUCCAACCAGAGAUGUUCCGCUGGCAAGAGCAUGCUAUGCCAAACAUUGUGGCCCGCAUGGUUGUGAGCAACCAGCACAACAGCCGGCAGUACAGCAGCGAGAAUGGAAAGGGAAGGGCAGACAGAGAACAAGAUGGACAUCUCCUGCCAGGAGUUAGUGACCAGCAACACAUGGUGGAACAAAUGUUAAGUUAGUGGAUUGAAUGUCAAGGAGGAGGGACAGCAGAACAUUCAGAUGUAGUGUUCCUGGAGUUGUGUAGAAGUCCAUCAGCUUGCUAGUGUGCCAUAAUGAGAAAACUAACCUGUGGUAAUGCUGGAGUAAUUGGACUUCUUGAAGUAUAGAAUCAGUAUGUUGGGUACAGUCAGAAGCUGCCAUAACUCAAAAAGGCAAACAAAUAGGAAGUAGAGGGCACAAACUUGUAUGUCAUCCGGAGAAAAAGAGCCUAUAGUCAGACUGUCUCUGAGAGAGAAAAUCCAUAAAAAGAGGUCCAGGCUUAUUCUUAAAGUAGAAUAAAGAGUGCAGCUAAGAAAUAACUGUAAAUCUUGAUCCACUGUGAAUGGAAGAUACAAUAUUAAAGAAAUAGCAUUCAAUUUUCUCUUUUGAAAAUCAAAAAUGACAGGCUAAAAAACCCUGCUGAACUCAAGUAGGAUAAGGAGAGAGGGAUGUGUAUGAUCAGAGAAAUGACUAAGCUGUUAACCAACCAGAAAAGGACAUCCUUGACUCUGAGAAAGCAACAGAAAUCAGUUAAAGAUGGGAAAAGUCAAGUGACCCUGAGCCAGCAAAUGAAAACAGAAGACCGUCUUCUGUAGAACACUGCAGAGAAGGAGUAAGAGACUAUUCAUAUAAGUUAAUAUUAGUUUUGAUUUUUAAGAGUACACAAAUGUUCAGCAGGACAUAGGCCCUCCAAAAGCAUGUGGAACUUGAUAUGCAAUGGGAUGUUCAUCUUCGUGAAACAACUAUUCCACCAGGCAUAAUUUUGUUUCAACAGAGCAGUAAUCAAAACCAGCUCCAGACUAUUAAGCAGGAGAUCGUGGUACAAGGUGAAACACCAAGAGAGAGGUGAAAGGUUUUACAGAUAUGCUGGUGAUCUGAUGAUCCAUGGUAAAAUGGAACAACUGGUGAACAUUACUCCCCUAUUAAUAAUGUCACAAUUGAAACAAAAUUUAAUCUCCUUAGCCUGAAUUAUUUAGAUCUGUUUAUCAUGUUUUAAGGCUCCAGUCACCUUGAUAUCUCAGCACAACUUAUUCGCUUAUUCUUAAGGGCCAUAUGCUCAUAUAUCUCUUUAGAAAGCAUUGGCACAAAUUUUCUGAAAUAAGUUUAUUCUGUUUUUUAUCCCCUUUUCCCAAAUCCACUUAAUGUAUCUGCUAACACAGAGGACCUUUUGUGUUUGCUUCUGCUGUAGUAGAUUGUUAUUUCUUCCUAUUUUGCUAAAGGUUUAGAAAUCACUUGAGAAAUCUAGGUAAUGUAUUUAUUUUGAGGUAGAUUUAUCAUCAGAGCAGGUAAUGGAAGGUCUCCACUUCAGUGGGCUUUGGAUCAGGUGUUUAGUGAUAACACCAUUUCAGUUCUUCUAAUCUAGUUGUUUGGGAUCCAGCAUGCAGCCCCUGAAACUGCAGAGAGUUUCACCAUAGGCUUUAAUGAGAGCAGAAAAAGCCCCUACUUAUCAAGAGAGGCUAUUUCAAUCCAGAAGAAGUAAGCACAAGACUUCCUUGAACAACUGAGUUUAAAUUUGUUUUAAUUCUGAAUCUCACUGGAUUUUUUUCCAUGGUCACUUUGACCUCUGUUCUGUACCUCGUACUAACAGGAUGAGUUGGAGUUUUAGUUACCCAGGCCUACUGGAAAUUUGGCCCAGCAGUCAUUUGGCAGUGGCCUUUCAUGAGCAGCAUUGCCAGCUUUCUAUUUCAAUGCUCAUAUUCAGAGAUUUGAAGAACUAGAGUCCAAAUUCUGCUUUCAUUUGCAAGCCUAGAAUGCUGCUGACUUCAAGGGGGUUGUAGAAUUUUAGCCAAGAGUAGAAAUUGGCCCAGAAUCUUUUCAGAUUCCCUCAUGCUUGUUUUUAUGUGAUGUUGUCAUCAAGAAUUAACAGCAUGCUUCAUGCUACAUUUUACUUUUAAAUUACAUAAAGGAUAUUUACUGUGCCGAUGUCACAUAGUUUGUGAGAAAGAUGCACAUAUGGUAAUGAAAGGACACUAAUUACCAUUAGGAUCUCCAGCUUUCAGCAUUUAUUUUCCAAAACAACUCAGGGAAUAUUUUCUCUAUAAAAAAAUAGAAAUGAAAAUCCAGUUUCUUGGCAUUUAUGCAUGGUGUUCUAGAGUCUUACUCAUCAAGCGUGUUAUGAAAAUGGUCAGAAUAAAAAGGUCUAGUAGCAUACAGAAAGUCCAGUAGUCUGCUUUGAGUUUCUGUACUUACUGUUCUUUCCAUCAGAGAGAGACAUGAGUCCAUCCCUAUAAUAACUUAAUGUUUUUCUGCCUCUCAAGAGGUGGGAAAAAAGGAGGAUAUCUGGGGAAAGCUGAGUGAUCACAAUGGACAACAGGUAAAAACAAAGGUAGAAUGUGAGAAUCAAGGGAUUAAAACUGUUGCAACAGGAUGCCAGGCAGAGCAUCUCUCACUGCCCACUACUACUUGAAGGCAUCCAAGCAGCCGAUAGAGCCAGGCCAGUAGUGCCCUGCCUAGAGUCAUGGUACCAGGUACGGACCCAGUACCAAACUGAUUUCUUUAAAGCUGUGAAGGGGCCCUUGGAGCAAACUAGCUGCUCAGUAUCUUUCUUGAGCAGGACACACUGUAGGACAGGGGUCCUCGGCAGAGCAGAGCUCCAGUCUGUUCUGGUCAGAGCUGCUGGGAAGCUCAGCCUUUUUGAAAGUGAGACAAAUUGUUUUGCCACACAGUUACAAAUCUGGGAGCCUCAGUUCUAGAUAGCCUUGUGUAGAAAUCUGGGCUGUGACCUUUUAAAGCCUUAACAACUCCCUACUUAGGCUUUUAAUAUGCAUGUUAAAUAGUUCAUUGAGUAUGGCCUGGUAUUUAGAACAGUAUGCCAUUCUUGGCUGAUGAGUAACUUCAGGCAAAGAAAUUAUUUUGUACCUCUGUGCUUUUUCUUCUUCUGCAUUUGCUUUGUCUUCCUAGAUAGUAAAGUCUUUCAGGGAGGGAGUGGCUAAUGCUAUGCAUGUCUAGUGAUUAACACAGCCAACUCCAGCCACACUGAGAGCCUCCCUGCUCCCAAAUGCUACCCUUAACAGUAAUCCUACACAUGUGGGCCCGUGUGUAUGCCUGACUUUCACCCUACUGUUGAAACAUGGUUUUAUUAUUGGUUAGUAGAUAAAACUAAAAUCUAGAUUCCUAUAUUAUAAUGUUAGAUUUAGUUUGCAACGUUAGCAAUUUUGUGUUGCUUCCUGCAUGGAGCGGAGCUCUUAGCUAGGAUUCUGUCAAUGGAAAUGUGGUUUCAGAGACAAUGAAAUGGCCGGCCUGUUCUAUGUAAAUAAUUUUGGUGCCACAAUAGCAAACAAUAUACUUGAAAUGCUUCUCAAGGAUCUAACUACAAAUAUAAGAGUACAGAGAGGUGUAUGCACCAUCCUGAGGGCUUGCUUAUAUGUUGUGCAAUGAGUUUAAAAAUAGGGAUGUCAAAUUCUGGAGAAAUGAGUAGAAAUUAUUUAGCAUGUAAUACAAUGUAGUCAUAUUGCUGGUUUCACGUGAUAUUGCCAGGCAGACCCUAGUAUUUGUCUUGCAGUUUUUCUAAGAGCUAUCAGCCACUGCUCAUGAGAUACAGAAUAAGCUGUUCUGAGACACACUGGCAUGGCAACACCGUGAAACCAGCAGUGUUGCCAUUCAGUGCUUGAAUAGAAGAAUUUGAGCUCAAAAGUUGCCAGUGAACAAUGUUUUAGGAAUGCUACUUCUAAAUGAAAGACCACUGGAAAGAAAGUGCCAUUGAGAAUAGCAUAUCCCAUUCAUAAUACAUGAAAAUUGCUGGCAAAAAUGAGUUACAAUUUUGGCUGAAUCUUUCCCCACUCUAGGUUAUUAAAACUGAAAAAAGCUCAUGUAAUAGAUGAAAUGGAUUUUUUCAUAAGUUGACUCAUGAAAAUCUUUCGUAUUUUGUUAUUCCAACCGUGCCAAAAAUGAACAAGUUGAUCUGAAAUCCAGCAGUGACAUUUCUGAGGCAAGAGGACAUAUGUCCUGCAGUGGCAAGUGAUAGGAAAGGAGAUGUUCUUUUUAUAUAUUCCUCCAGGCUAAUGGAAAUAAUUAAGAAUACUUCCACUGGCUUUGAUUUAAACAAAUGCAUUGUAUUUCCUAGAGGGAACAGAUGACUAAAAACAAUAUGAAUUCUUGUCCUUUUAAGAGACUAAUUCAAGUAUAUUGUAGUUGGCAACAGUUGCCUUUUUCAGACUCUUUAUUGGCACAAAGUGGGAUGAUGCUCAGGUCUCUGAUGCAUAAGAAUACUACCGAUAACAGCAGAACCAGCAUUGCUGAUGGUAGUGAAAAAGACACUUGAACAUAGAUCAGAACAUGAAAGACUAUUUCCUCCAUCUGAAAUAAGGCAUGAACUGCCUGUCUUCCUAGAUCAUGCUGAGCGCUCUGCCAAAUCCAAGGGGUUAGGAACAGAAGAAGCUAUCAUGCAUUGGAGCUGCCAUUGGGGUACAGGAUCUUCUCAUGGCUUUGGCAUCCUAUGGCUGUAGAGGUACCUGCCAGGAUCUUUUCUAGGUCUACAAAAGAAACCUUAUCCUCUGAGGACCCACAUUUGCUAAGUUUGCCUCUCAUGAACACGUUCUGUGACUUUCAGCACAGGAUGGCACAAAGUGGGUCAGGGAUUCCCAGGCUACAACAAGAAUAUGGGCUUCCCAUUCAGGGUGUGAUCCAACUCUUAGCACUGCCGAAGGAAAGGCUCUGACUGAUGUUGGUGGAGUUGGUUUGGCCAGGCAGACUGUAUUUUAUUAGGGCUUUCAAGGAGCAAAAUGUCAUAAUUUUUGCUCCUGGGAAUUCCUAGUCUCAGGAACUGUCAGACUGAUGACUGUCACAAAUACCAGAUCCUCUUGAAACUUGUAAGGAAAAGGUUCUGUAUCAGCAGUUGAAUUGUCUGCUCAUCUGUCUACCUACUUUUUUAGGAAUGCCAAGAGCACUGGACUACUAAGGGUUUGACACUCUUGCUUGUUCUGUUACUUUCCCUCUAACCUUGCUAUUUCAGAUAGGCUAUUUGUCAACGCCAGAGAAAUCUGCUGCAGCAACAGAAGGAAUAUCUGGUGUCAGUAUCUCCAGCUUCUUGACUGAACUACCUCAUUAGAGAAACUAAAAUGUCCCUUUGAUUGCUUAGAAGUAAAUCAUUUGUUUUGCAAAAAUCUCCAAGCAGUUAUUCACUUCUUGUAAAAUUAUAAUGCCUGAAGUCUUCCUCUAAUGCAGCCCUGAAUAGCUAGAAUGACUUGAAAUUUGCAACCAAUAAAAAGUUUUACAGCAAAGCAGAUCUGAUCAGUGUUUCCCUAAGUGAGACAAUUAAUUUUCACUGUCAAAAUGUAGGCAGAUUUUGUUUGGUUUAAAAACAAUAAAAUGUUUUACUGGAGAAAAUAAUAAAACAGGGCAUUUCUGUAGCUUCACAGAUAUGUAUAAUGUGUUUGAGAUUUUGAAUGUUAUCAUUAGGAAAUUUGGAGUUGACACUUUUAAGAUACCUAGAACACAUACUUUGUCUCAUAAUAGCCAAGUAUUUUGUCACGAUCAGCUUGAAGUUUUCUCAUAAAGGUUGGCAGUGCAUAUCAAGCUGAAAUGGGAUAACUGCUGUCCCAGUAGUCUGCAGUGGGAAAGAAACCUAGGGACUUUGAAAACUGAUAGCUACUUCUGCUUUUGGGUAGUACCUUUCAUUGGAGAAUCUUAAAGUAAUCACAGAAAUCCCUAAGUCUUGCCAGCCAGAAAGAUGACACAUUUUCUCAAGCAUAGUUUUCUGUUUGUUGUACAGCAUCAGAAGGGACAGAGUCUGUCCAUCUCUGACCUCCACGCUGGCAGUUUCCCAAGGAAUUGCUAGUGAACAUAGCUUACAGACCACACUCCCUGUAAUCUCUACAUAUGGUAGAAGGAAAGGAUAGAGAUAAAGAGAAGUGCUGAAAGCCUAUCCUGUUCCAGUUUUUUAACAGAGGGAAAUCCUCUGGGGACCAUCACACACAAGUAGCUCUCAGGCAGCUCUAACUUAAUGUGAAGACCACAAUGACAGAGAAUUAGGGAACAGUAGAGGCCUAUUCAUCCCGUCCUUGCUACAUUUUAUAAAACUAGAUGUGAUCCAGCACACAUAGUUUAAUUUCAUCUGAAGAAAGCCUGAUUUCCCAUACUAUCUUUUAAUAUCUUGUACACUGUACAGUACAUAAAAACAAUACAUACAGCAACUUACCAGUGACAGACAUGGUAAAUGCCCCGAUGGUCUUCAUGAGCAAAAGUACACGCAGAGAGAGGCUGAGGAUUUGAGUCAUUGAAAGAUCUGUUGUUGAAGAGAGGUUUUGCCUUAACAUCGCACUCACAGGAACAUCUGCAAUCCUCCAGUGAACAGCAUAGCUAACGUUUCCUAAUGUGUAUCAGUCAAAUCAGACCCUCAGACUUCUACGGUUCCUCCUUUCUUCCUCAUGAUCCUUUCCCCUCUUCAUCUUUCUCCCUCUCUGCUCUUCACAUUUCUCUCUUCUCUUCUGCUGCCUUAUGAAGUACUUAUCAUUGAAUAGAGGGAUUAUGACACAAUUGAUAAGUGGGAAGAUUAUGACAUCAGAGGGAUAAAUCAUGCCUCCCCCCCAGCUUUCUUCCCUCUACUUCUUUUCAUCCAUUUCUACUUCUCCUCUCUUAAAAGAGGAAAACUGUGAUACUAGAAAGCAGCAUUUUCUUCCAAUCCCUCUUCUAGUAUUAAUUCUGCCUCAUUUGCACUUUCACAUGCAUCCAGCAGACAUGUCCGUUGAAAAUACAUUUCAUAGAAACAGGCAUAUGCACAUGGACAAAAUGUGUCUGUGUAUGAAUUUUGGUGAGUGUGAACUGUGUACGCAGUUACUUGAUUUGCUCACCCCACAUCAGUUUUGAAAGCAGAUAUUUGUGUGAUAUAGUGCCUCUUGUACUAAUCAUUCAUGUGGAUAAGGGUGUUUUUUUCCUGUCCAUUCAUAUGUAUUUAUUAAGUUUCUCUUAAAAAAUGUGGACAUGUGAUUUGAUUCUUUUGUUUAAAUAUGCUAGAAUUUGAGAUAAUAUAUUUAUGGCCCCUUCAAUUAGUCCUUCAAUCUUCAAAAUUCUCUGUGGCCAAGUUAGGAGAGAGAAUGGUGGUAACCUAGUUUAUAAUUCAGUUGGCCCAGUUCACAGUUUAAAAUACUGAUGGAGGUGUACUGGUGCUAAGAUGCUAGACUAUGAACUAUUGUAUAGACACACAACCUGUUGUGCUACCCUUGUGCUGGUGUCAAUAAUAUCCAGCAGAAAAUACCAGGAGAAGCUCUAAUCUUAGCAUUGAAGAAGUGAUAACUACUUGCUAAAUGUGCUGCAGAUGAUCUGUCAAGAGUCCUUUUUCUUGGAAACAGGAACUGGGAGAAAUACAAAACAUAAAACAGAAAGCUCUCUACUAACAAAAUAUCCUAGUGUAGUCCAAAAUCAAUAUUAAGUCAUGGUAGAACUGAGAAAAUCAUAAACAUUGAAGAGCCAUGUAUUAGUCCAUAUCUAUCAAAAAAGUUAACUCUUCUCCAUAUGCACACGCAUUCAUGUUCCCACAAGACACAAGAAGUAUAAGCUUAAUACAAUUUGUAUCAGACUGUUUCCAUUGCAAUAGAGCAAAGAACAUCUUAUACUUAACUGGAAUCUAAACAUUCUGGAUAUUUUUUUCCUCCAGUGCUGCAACAGAUUUUCUGUGUGACCUUGGGCAAGACACAUAAUUUCUCUCUGCCGUAAAGUUAGAUAAUACUUCCAUACCUUAUAGCUUGUGCUGCAAGUUGCUGAGUUUCAAAGACAAGUCUGCUCGUUAAAUAGGAUUAUGUCUAGUCCUGAAGUGGGGAGAAGGCCUGCAAAAGGCAGGUAGAAAUGGGAUGGCCUAAAGUGUCAUUGAAGCCAGUGGGAGCUGAGGGCAUAGUAGAUACUCAGGAGUUCUCAGGAGCAUUUACCUAAUCAAGGUACUGGGAGGACGUUUAGUAGGCAGCUAUAGGGGAGAGCAUUUAUACACUUCAUAUCAGUGGGCAAAUAGCAAAGACUGUUAGAUUUCUGAUUGAUACAACUUGCAGAAAACAUUUCAAUGGAGUCAGGACCAGUUCUACUCCUGAGGAACGAGUUCCUGCUGAUGUCCGGGGAAGUGUUUGAAAAAAAAUUCUACGGGGUCGUGUCCUGUGAAUGACGGGGUCACAAAGAGCAGGACUUCACAGUCAAGCAGUUUUGCUUGUUUAGCAGAGCAGAGCAGUUAUCGGAUGUGUAGGUCCUGCAGCAGGAUUGGGGUCCUUGGUGGAGAAGAGUACACAGUAACAAAGAUGGAAGAAAACAGGGGUGAGCAUUAGCAGAUGGCUGGGCAUAGGUUAUCCCUUACACCACUGUGUGUAUUAAAUUGAAUAAAGACCAGUGGGGGACAUUGGUGAGUGCUAGCAUUUGGGAAGACACCAGUAAUUCAAAUUCAUUUGGUGGGUAAAUUGACACCUUUUAUAAAUGGGUUUUAUACCUUUUAAAAUGGUUUCCACCAGCUGGCAGGGUAACAACUGUGGACAGAUCAGAAUAAACAGCGCCGACCAUUUCUGUGUCUUCCACCUGCAGUUCUUGAGUUCCUUUUGUUGGCUGUUAGCUUCACUGCAAAAAAACAUAUGCAAGAGAAUCAACACUUCAGCUUGACAGCACUUUUGUCAUGUCCAGGUAAUUAAAAUAAUGCCACUGCACCUGGUAGAACUAUAAAAAUGUCCUUAUAAAUGUCUCAGCAGCAUUUAAUAUUUUAUUCAUUGCAAUGUUGUUGUGUUUUGCCUGCAAUAAAACAGCCUCAUGUAAGUGAGACACUACAGUGUCACUGUAAACAUUUCAAACAUUUUCCCUUCAAUACAUUACUUUAGCUCAGUGAGUUUCAUUUUUCCUUCUGGUUUUGAAUCCUCGUCUUGUAAUUUUUUUUCCUGCUUUCAAGACAUUAAAAACAAAACAAACAACCCCAAAAUCCCAACCCUUUCUUUUGUUAGAAGAAGGCAACUGGAACAGGCCGUGGUUAAGCUUUUACCCCCUUUCCACAUGCAGAAAAGACUGUGUGUGAAAACUUUAUUUCCCAGGGAAAUAUAUUCCAUUUUUUAAUCUUGCUAUGCCUGAAUAAUUGCCUUGCAUAUAACAUUAUCUCUCCAGUUAGUGACUCAGGAACUAGAAGGAAAAAUAAAACAAAGUUUAAUAUAUACAAAAUAAUGUUGAUAGUUUUAUUACAGAAGGAGUUGUAAGCCAAACUACACAAGCAUAGACAUAGCUAUUAAAGGAAAAAUUACAAUGUUGCCAGCAUGAACUGUUCAGAAAUAAAUAGUCAGGCCUUCCAAAGCCAUGAGAUCGGCUUACAGACUUCUGGUUUUCAAAAUACAGGUUCAGUAUGUUCUUAUUUGUCUUCACUUUUUGAUACGCUGAGGAAUCACAGAAAACCAGCUUUACUUUACAAAUAUGGAGACUGGAAACUUUUUGUUUGUAUAAUUGAGAUUCUUGAAUAACUAAUGUGACUCCAGAAUCAAGAGAUUUCAGAAAAUCACCACAUAGCCUGCAGUAAAAUUGAGAUUUGGCAUCAUUAGCCUCUUCCAGUCUAGCAAGCUAUCAGAUGUUACCAUAUAUGUAUUUUCUUGCAAGUAUGCCAUGCUUUUCCACCCAGUAACCUUGCCUAAACAGAAAAAAAAGGACUCUAAGAUUUACAGACAUUAUGUAGCACAAAGGGAGGUAAGACCAGGUCAGGACAUCAAGAAAAUCUUGUUAUGUUCUCUGUGUCUGCUCGAAUCAUCCAUAAGUA